rnacentral:rRNA from 1 species
UACGUAGGGGGCAAGCGUUGUCCGGAAUCAUUGGGCGUAAAGAGCGCGUAGGCGGCCCAGUAAGUCCGCUCUGAAAGUCAGGGGCUCAACCCCUGGAUGCGGGUGGAUACUGCUGGGCUAGAGUCCGGAAGAGGUGAGUGGAAUUCCUGGUGUAGCGGUGAAAUGCGCAGAUAUCGGGAGGAACACCAAUGGCGAAGGCAGCUCGCUGGGACGGUACUGACGCUGAGACGCGAAAGCGUGGGGAGCAAACAGG